GGUUCCAACUUCAACUCCUCUCCUCCUCCUCUUUUCUCUUACUGUGAAGAACUCCAAUUCCACCAUGGGAAGAUUUAAUCCACCAAACUCGAAAAUAUGUAUCUCAAACUUUGGUUUUAACCCCUUUUUAUCAAAUUUUCAUCUUAGCCGCCCCUUUUUUUCAAAUUUGAUUUUAGUUACAAAUGUUGAUUUUGGAAGGAAAUUAAAACAAAGAAAGCUUUCCCGGCCAUAUCAAUGAAGAAUUUCCAGGUGUGUUGUUGUUUUCCUAUGCUAAUUGUGCUAUGGAUAGCUUACAUUGUUUUAUUUUAUUCGAUGGUGGAGUCUCCUUCAGUUCCUUCUCAGCCAUAUGGGGAAUUUUCAUGGAUGGAGAAACAAAUUUAGUAGGAAUUCAUGGAACACAGUCAAGCUCUAGAGGAUUUUAUACGGCUAUUGGUAGUUCAUCUGAUGCUUUAGAACUAGAAAGAAACAUGAAAACUGGACUAAAUUCUGAGGUCGAAGUCCUGGUGGUCUAAAUUUCAAGGAAGCUUAAAACUGCCUCAAUUGCAGCAAGAAAAUAAGUUGACGAUUUUGAAACCAGAUAAGAUUAAGAAUUUAUGGUCUAAUAUGUAAUAUGCUCCCAGAAGCUAUGAUGAUUAGGUGAUAAUGAUGAAAGAACGAGGGGUUCCAAAGGAGUUUCACAAGCUUACGAUUGCAUGGGGUUUAAUGGAUCAUGAGAACAAUGUGAGUUUCAUUUGGAUGUUGGAGACGUUGAGGUCCAUUUAUAACGGUGAUAAUUUUCCAAGGGUUAUUGUAAUGGAUAACG